AAAAAAUACAUAUAUCUGGUUGAUUGUUUGUGACACUUGACAAUGGUGGACACAAUAAACAAUGCUACUUUUUUAGCAAAAUAGUUCAAGUCUAUUAGUAUUUCAGUUGCAUGGUUGGAUUGCAUUUGCAGAGAUCUAUAGACAGAGUUGGUAUUUGAUAAUAGAAAUAGGAUUUUUCAAUGAGAUUGAUUCUGAAAACACCCCAGUUGGUGAAAUGCUAUAGGCAGAGUUUAGAUUGUUGCUCUCCUACGGAUGUAGUUUGAUAUGCAGUUAAAGGUU
rnacentral:misc_RNA from 1 species